GGGCCGUGGACGCAGCGCAGACAGGAAGCCGCCCGAGAUAACGCUGCGGCCGGGCGGCCUGAUUUGCUGGGCUGUCUGCUGGCCCGGGCCGAGGCUUCUCCCCGCGCCUGGGACUGCGGCCGCCUCUCUAAAUAGCAGCCAUGAGGCGCCUGGGGGCAGUGUCCUCGCGGGCCAGCGGCGGGCAGGACGCCCCGUUCGCCCAGCGCGUGCUCAGGAGUUGGUGUCCUGCCUGCGCUCAGGAUGAGGGGGGAUCUGGCCCUGGCGGGCGUUCUAAUCAGUCUGGCCUUCCUGUCACUGCUGCCAUCUGGACAUCCUCAGCCGGCUGGCGAUGACGCCUGCUCUGUGCAGAUCCUCGUCCCUGGCCUCAAAGGAGACAUGGGGGACAAAGGACAGAAAGGCAGUGUGGGUCGCCAUGGAAAAAUCGGUCCCAUUGGCUCUAAAGGUGAGAAAGGAGAUUCUGGUGACAUAGGACCCCCUGGUCCUAAUGGAGAACCAGGCCUCCCGUGUGAGUGCAGCCAGCUGCGCAAGGCCAUCGGGGAGAUGGACAACCAGGUCUCUCAGCUGACCAGCGAGCUCAAGUUCAUCAAGAAUGCUGUCGCCGGUGUGCGCGAGACGGAGAGCAAGAUCUAUCUGCUGGUGAAGGAGGAGAAGCGCUAUGCGGACGCCCAGCUGUCCUGCCAGGGCCGCGGGGGCACGCUGAGCAUGCCCAAGGACGAGGCUGCCAAUGGCCUGAUGGCCGCAUACCUGGCGCAAGCCGGCCUGGCCCGUGUCUUCAUCGGCAUCAACGACCUGGAGAGGGAGGGCGCCUUCGUGUACUCCGACCGCUCCCCCAUGCGGACCUUCAACAAGUGGCGCAGUGGUGAGCCCAACAAUGCCUACGACGAGGAGGACUGCGUGGAGAUGGUGGCCUCGGGCGGCUGGAACGACGUGGCCUGCCACACCACCAUGUACUUCAUGUGUGAGUUUGACAAGGAGAACAUGUGAGCCUCAGGCUGGGGCUGGCCACUGGGAGAGCCCAUGAGCCUCCAGCUGGGGCUGCUCACUGGGGGCCCCACGUGUCCCUGCAGGGUUGGCAGGGACAGAGCCCAGACCACGGUGCCAGCCGGGGAGCUGUCCCUCUGUGAAGGGCGGAGGCUCACUGAGUAGAGGGCUGUUGUCUAAACUGAGAGAAUGGCCUGUGCUUAAGAGGAAAAUGAAAGUGUUCCUGGGGUGCUUUCUCUGAAGAAGCCUAGUUUCAUUACCCGUAUUGUAGCCCCAAUGUCAUUAUGUAAUUAUUAUCCAGAAUCGCUCUUCCAUAAAGCUCGUGCCUUUGUCCAAGCUAUACAAUAAAAUCUUUAAGUAGUGCAGUA
rnacentral:sRNA from 1 species